rnacentral:lncRNA from 1 species
AUGUCACUCGGCCAUUUCGGUGUCUCCUGGGGAGCUUCCCUUACGUCUAGGAGCCUGCCAUACCCCUGCUCACCCCCUGGCCGUUUGCACGGGACCCGAGCUGUUGUGACACCACCCUCCCCUGGGAGCACUCUUGGCCCAGUGAGGCCUGGCCCACCGGCAGACCUGCGGCUCUCUUCUCCUUGUUUUCCUUCACCUUAUUCUAGAAGUUACACAGUACCUGUUGCUCUGUAACUAGCCCGUUGCCACGUAACAGACGGUGGGGGGUGACGAGGUCUAGAAAUAACUCCCCUCCCUUCCAAACAGGCAGAAAUCGUGGUGUCAGUUUAUUGCCAGUGAAAGCGAGGCCAGGGGAUGUGGCUUUUGUAUCGGACCCACCCAGUUGUUGCGUGGGCCCGCGGAGGGACACGCUUCCCCAGGGUUGCUGCCUCCUUCUGGGAAGAGAAGGAGGAAAG